rnacentral:lncRNA from 1 species
GAUGUUUGAAUGUUGUGAUUUCCGUUAUACAUGAUUAGAUGAUCUUAUGAUUGUUUGAAUGAGUUCGUUUUCCUUGUAUGCAUGAGAUUUUGGAUGUUUUAUUAUACAUGAGAUUUGAGUUUUCAGAUAUGUGGUUUUGGAUCCUUGGUUUCAGAUAGGAUUUAUACGCUUUGCGGAUUUCUACCCCUCGAGGUAGCUGGUUUUCAAAAUAGAGUUUCCGUGUGGGAAACAGUUUUAAAAAGGUUUUCGAAUGGUUUUAUGAACGAAUGAAUUAGAGUUUAAAAACAAAAGCUUCCGUGUGGGGAGCACUUUUAAAUAGGAUGAUUGUUGUACUGUGCAUUGCAUCAUCCAGCGCCUAAGGAGUGCUUAGAGGCAUGCAUUAUCUCUAAGGAUUGUUAUCUGUAUGAAAAUGCAUAUCAUUAAUUGGUUGUUGAUUGGUAAUUGUAGGUUGGGGUUGUGAUCCUGUUGUAUAGCUGGUACGCCGUACAAAUACAAAGG